rnacentral:tRNA from 1 species
UCUAUUUUGGCAGAAAAGUGCAAUGGAUUUAGAAUCCAUAAAUGUAAGGUUGAAUUUUACAGAUAGAA